rnacentral:rRNA from 1 species
GACGAACGCUGGCGGCGCGCUUAACACAUGCAAGUCGAACGGAAAGGCCUGCUUUCCCUUGUGGAUUGCGGGUACUCGAGUGGCGAACGGGUGAGUAACACGUGAGUGAUCUGCCCCCAACUUGGGUAUAAGCCUGGGAAACUGGGUCUAAUUCCCGAUAGGACUGCAGGGUGGUGCCUGUGGUGGAAGACGAUUUUCUAGUGGUUGGGGAUGAGCUCGCGGCCUAUCAGCUUGUUGGUGGGGUAAUGGCCUACCAAGGCGGCGACGGGUAGCCGGCCUGAGAGGGUGGACGGCCACAUUGGGACUGAGAUACGGCCCAGACGCCUACGGGAGGCAGCAGUGGGGAAUAUUGCACAAUGGGCGGAAGCCUGAUGCAGCGACGCCGCGUGGGGGAUGACGGCCUUCGGGUUGUAAACUCCUUUCGACCGCGAGGAAGCCACCUGGUUGGAAGGGUGGUGACGGUAGUGGUAGAAGAAGCACCGGCUAACUACGUG